GAUGAACGCGGCGGCGUGCCUAAUACAUGCAAGUCGAACGAGUUCUCGUUGAUGAUCGGUGCUUGCACCGAGAUUCAACAUGGAACGAGUGGCGGACGGGUGAGUAACACGUGGGUAACCUGCCCUUAAGUGGGGGAUAACAUUUGGAAACAGAUGCUAAUACCGCAUAGAUCCAAGAACCGCAUGGUUCUUGGCUGAAAGAUGGCGUAAGCUAUCGCUUUUGGAUGGACCCGCGGCGUAUUAGCUAGUUGGUGAGGUAAUGGCUCACCAAGGCGAUGAUACGUAGCCGAACUGAGAGGUUGAUCGGCCACAUUGGGACUGAGACACGGCCCAAACUCCUACGGGAGGCAGCAGUAGGGAAUCUUCCACAAUGGACGCAAGUCUGAUGGAGCAACGCCGCGUGAGUGAAGAAGGCUUUCGGGUCGUAAAACUCUGUUGUUGGAGAAGAAUGGUCGGCAGAGUAACUGU
rnacentral:rRNA from 2 species